ACAGAGCCCCGGUGAGUCAGCAGUCCCGAAACACCCUGCCAGCGGCUGCCUGGCUCUGCGCUACGAGGAGAAACACGCCAUUCUCGCAGAGUGCAUGUGCACAUGCUUGGGGCCGCGCUGGGCAGGGUAAAUGGUGUUUUGCAGAGCCCGGUUACCUAUGGCAACAGCGGGGAGGAAUACUGCAGGCGAUCUUCUGAAUCACAGGAUUUACAGCCCGUAUGUUUAUUCUGCAGAGAAACACUUCCAGCCCUGCUUCUGAUGUGAGCUGGGAACCGCGAGAGGGCUUUACAGAGCCAUUUAAAAGGCAAUGUGAGCUGGAAGCGAGGCAUUUUUAAUCAAAGACCAGGUUCAAAAAAGUAAAACAUAGCCGAAUCAGAGGAGUCUCCAGAAUGAGCUCCAGUGUCACCAAGUACCUGCAGUCACACGCGCCGCCAUUGAUAACCUCCUCACAACUUCAUGGCUGCUCUCCGAAUUUCUCGCCUCUGCCUCAGCUCUUGCACAGCCACCCUGGGCAAAUCGGCAGCACGCAGCCAGCACGGCCGGGGCACGGCCCCCUCGGCCGGAGCCAGAGCGGGCUCUCCGGGGCCUUGAAGGCGCCGUGCUCCCACUGGAGCAGUACCUGGGCUGGGCACUGCCCCGGCUGCAGCAAGAGCGCACGAAAGCAUCUGCUUUCAUUCUGUGCACGUACUACUGACUGACUGACCACUGCAUGGGAGGCUUUUCUUAUGGCAUGAUAAACAUUUGAACAGGAUUUUAAAAAAUCAUCACAACUGGAGAGAGUUUUUGAGCCUGAUAAGAAUUAAGCAUAUUUACGACAACAUUUGAAAAACAAGACUACAAAUACAUACUUUUACAUAUCAUUUUGAAAUGCCACUGGCUUUGCUGAUCUAACUGCAUUUCACCUCAUCCCGUCUGAGAAAAUAAGCAGUUCCAGGCCUGGCUAAGCUGUGGUAGGAAGUCAUCUGGGAAUUCAGGAAGCUAACGGCACAAGCCAAGGCGCUGUGGUUGAAUGCUUGAGCAAAGAUUCAUUCCACCUAACUCUAACCUUCAGAAAAUCUGGAAUCUGGUUUCAGCUGCCUCUGUAGUAAGCAGAGAUAAAUUCAGUUGCUCAAAGACAACUCAUCACACCUAAAAGAAAUACCUGCGUGGUUGAGUGUGUGCUUGCAGGUGCAUCUUGCAGUACUGGAGACAGUAAUGCAAUCUUGGUAUAAUCAGGGCAGGUCACUGUAAACACAGAUGGACAGACACAUCAGAUCGAACCCAUAUGGAAACAUCCAAUUUAUACUCUUCUUUCUGGAACUUGAAUGCUCCCAAAUGUUACUACUUUUUUCCUAAGAAAUUUCCCAUAUAUGCUACAUAUUAAUCAAGCUAUCUCAAAGCUUGAGAGGAAAACAUUAUCCUAGCUGAAUGGGGAGAUGGAUGUUUUGCAGGAAUCUGCUGCUCAUUUCUGAAAGUGGAGAGACAGGUCAUUCCAAACUGUACUUGCUGUAACCUAGGAGGAAUUCACCUUGCUGAUAAAUAUUUAAGAGUCACAAAGGACUUAUCUGCUAGUCCUUGUAUGAGACACUCUUUCAGUGGGUUCAAAGCAGUACAUACAAAUUUUCAUGGUUGCAGUUCCAAGUACACUUUUUUCAGGAACAGAAUGGAAAAUCAAAAGUAAGAUACAAAACAGUUGAAUCUCAGGGCUUCCAUGUGAGCCCUAAGAAUUCAGAAAUAAGCAUAUGUGCUUAAUUCAGAUUUUUUUUCCAAUUAGCCAAAAAGUAAACACUUACUUUGUCUUACUAUUUUUCUUUCCCUGGAUUUAGAAGAGAAAAUAGAAUCUGAAUUUGUUGAUGCAUUGAAAUUUAUUUGGGAAAUUGCUUUGCAGACUGGACUAAGAUAAACAGUAAGUCAUAAUAUAUGUAGCAAAUGAUCAUGCAAAUCAAAGAAAAAGAGUAGAAGACAGUGGGAGGAAGAAUUCAUCCCUUAGAUGGAAAAUGAAUGGGUCUUUAAAAUAGGAAAACUGGUGGGGAAUUUGCUGCCUAUCUGUAUAUUGCUUUCUCAAUGUACUCAUCUAUUGUAUGCACAGCAUUAAAUAAACAGUUGAAUCUUCA